rnacentral:rRNA from 1 species
AUACGGAGGGUGCAAGCGUUAAUCGGAAUUACUGGGCGUAAAGCGCACGCAGGCGGUUUGUUAAGUCAGAUGUGAAAUCCCCGGGCUCAACCUGGGAACUGCAUUUGAAACUGGCAAGCUUGAGUCUCGUAGAGGGGGGUAGAAUUCCCGGGGGAGCGGUGAAAUGCGUAGAGAUCUGGAGGAAUACCGGUGGCGAAGGCGGCCCCCUGGACGAAGACUGACGCUCAGGUGCGAAAGCGUGGGGAGCAAACAGGAUUAGAUACCCUGGUAGUCCACGCCGUAAACGAUGUCGACUUGGAGGUUGUGCCCUUGAGGCGUGGCUUCCGGAGCUAACGCGUUAAGUCGACCACCUGGGGAGUACGGCCGCAAGGUUAAAACUCAAAUGAAUUGACGGGG